rnacentral:lncRNA from 1 species
GGGUUAGAAAUAAAUAUAGACUGAAUAGAGAAAUUGGUUAAAUCUAAUCAAGAGUUCAAUUAGAUUGGGUCAGAAUUUCUCUAGAUCAACCUCAAUAGUUGAAGCUUAAUCAAGUUCAUAUUUUUUGACCUUACUAAAUGGACCAUGAUCAUGGCUUAGUAGUUGAGUCUGAAUCUUCUGGUGGACCAAAUCGAAACUAAUUAACUAGUUGUCUCAGGUAAGUUUGAUAGUUUUGAUCAAGUGGUUAUUAAUUGGGAGAUACUCACCUAGAUGGCGUCUACGACGAGUUAAUG